UACGGAGGGUGCGAGCGUUGUCCGGAAUCACUGGGCGUAAAGGGCGCGUAGGCGGCGCGGAUAGUCGGCGGUGAAAGCCCGGAGCUCAACUCCGGGUCGGCCGUCGAUACUUCCGGGCUUGAGCACUGUAGAGGCAGAUGGAAUUCCUGGUGUAGCGGUGGAAUGCGCAGAUAUCAGGAAGAACACCCGUGGCGAAGGCGGCUCUCUGGAACGCAACUGACGCUGAGACGCGAAAGCGUGGGGAGCAAACAGG
rnacentral:rRNA from 1 species